CAUUUUAGUAUUCUAUGAUUUAAAUUGUAUUAAUUUAGUGCCUUGUAAUUAAUUUCAUUUUUAUCAUUUUAUUAUUGAUUCUACUAAUUUUUUUCAUUCAAUUAGUGAUAAAAUUAAAACUAAAGGGUACUAAAGUAAAUAUUCGAUAAAUUUAUGUGGAAUAUUUGAAGUUUUUUUGUAUAUAAUUAACGAAAUUAAUAUUAACGGAGAAGCUGACAAAAAGAUAAAAAUGAAACCACAUGGCACUAAUUUGAUACACUUUAAACUGCAGGAUACUAAAGUGAGAAAGU
rnacentral:lncRNA from 1 species